GGUACAGUAUAUGCUAUACAAUGUAACAAAUACUAGUUGAAACUAAGAUGCAGUUUUACAGCACACACUGUUCAAACACUGUGACAGUAUCCAAAAGUCAACCAUUAACAGAACAGUGGGUGUGUCCACGUGCAACAGAACCAACAAGAACACACAGUGCUGUUCUAUCACUGAGGGUUGCAUCUCAAUACUUUGAAGUGGCUUCCUCUCCUCAGCUCAUCCCCUUCAUCAUUUAACAACCUGACUAGAGGCAUUUAACUAGGGAACCCUGCCUAGUGGUUAGAGUGUUGGACUAGUAACCGGAAGGUUGCAAGUUCAAACCCCUGAGCUGACAAGGUACUAAAUCUGUCGUUCUGCCCCUGAACUGGCAGUUAACCCACUGUUCCUAGGCCGUCAUUGAAAAUAAGAAUUUGUUCUUAACUGACUUGCCUAGUUAAAUAAAGGUAAAUAAUAUUAAUAUAUUUACAACAUGGUAUUUGUUAUGUCAUAGCCUGACACUACAGUAUUCACGCAAUGCUGCUUGACACCGUUAUCCAUGUCAAUAAAAUCAUUUCAGGCUAGAGGUUAUAUGCUGAGCAACCAAACAUGGUCAGAAAAUUCAAAAUGAACUGCCAAUAAAUAAGUUCUCAAUUGUUUAACUUCAGUUCAAUUGGAUGAGGAUAAUGUUAAAUUAUUUCAUAACAGGAUGUGCGGAUAUACAGUACACACACACACACACAACAGAGCAGAGGCCUGUUCCAACAUUAUGACUAAUGAGAAGGUGGUUCUGACCAGACAGGUGACUCACUACAACACUUAUAGAAUAGGAUUGUUUGUGUGGGUGUGUGUGUGUGUGUGUGUCACUAUUUUGCACUGUCAUAAGGUGUCUGGCACAGACAUAUUUGACUACAAAGAAAAAACUGUUUUUCCAAGAACAUAAAAGUCAACAUACAAGUCAAACAAUGAUUAGACAAUACAUCAAACCAUAGGCCCUAAAGCUGAACAGGGCUACUGAACCCAGUUGUGACAUAAUAACUUCCUAUGCAGGGGAAGGGUUCAACUCUGUUCACUGGAACAACUGAUAAGGUGCACAUAAUCUGAAACCACUCAAGAGUGUACUAAUAAUGCUGAUGCAUAACCAAUACCUUUAUCUUGUUUAUGUUCAUUCAUAAUCAUGACUCACUUCAUAAAUCAGCUAUAUUCAUGUUAUAGAUAAACGUGUUCCCUUGAGAUUGUCGUUAUUUAUACUUAUCAGAAUGUUUAUGUAGACUCUCAAACGCAUAACUUUCUCUCAAUUUUUCUCUGCCUCAAGGGCCCCCUACGGGCUUGAGCACAGGGGCUUCAGACCCCGUAAGCACCUGCAUUAAUCAGCCUCUGAAUACGCACUAUGCAGCUGUUGCAAGAGCUCAUUUUCACUGGUAGCAAAAAACAACGACUGAUAGGCAGCUUAAACGUCUUCAAUUCAACCAUUAUUGCAAUGCAAUUCAACGUCAGGUUUCCAGGCAAGUUUAGAUUGAGAUAUAUGAGCGGGAGUUAGUCAUAUGUGGCGCUCAUCUGCUUCUUAAUCCGUUUUAACUUCCUUUUCGACUGCAGUGCAUUCAACAACAAUAGGACAUGUCAAAAGUAAAAUAUUACACACAUCAGACCCUGAUGUAGCCUAGCCUAUAUGCUCAAAUCAGUAGAUACUCACCUCCCCUGCUAUAUUAUAUUUUAGGCUACAGGGAUUUAUUCCAAAAUAGUAGUUUCCAUCUAGUGAUCUUUUCGCGGUUAAGGACACAGAAAACAAUGUGGCUACGACACAUUCGGCUCACUGGCUGUCAGUAUGGAAAUCAGGUUGUCAAACUGCGAACGCAGUUGUCCUUUGAUGACGCAACCGCGUAGACCUUAUUUCGGCACAAAAACAAAACUUGCCACUUCACUUUUAAAUGACAUCGCACCUAUUGAAUAAAACGAGUGACUUUUUUUCGGAUACAAUUUAGACACACCCAGAUGCACAAUACCUUGUUUGAAGCUGGCUCCUGUGCUGUGUGCGCCUGAACGCUGCGCGUUUCGCAUUGACGUGGGGCAUUCACAUCACAGUAGAUGCAUUAUAUGCGCGCUGCGCGAUUUCUACAUCACCAUGACUUAGCAACUUCAACUUCAUAGCAGCAUAGCCCCGCAGCACAACUUCAUUACUGACACCCGGCAAGUACGCACAAAACAACAAUAACAACAUUCCAAGAAAUUAACCCGAUUACCCGACGAUUAUAACGCAAGAUACGCCAACCCAGCGCAGUUCAGCGUGGCUUGUAGACUAUCUAUGACAUCAGACAUUUAUACGCUAAAAACAAAUCAACGCCCACAUACUAAGGUCCUAAACAGUUUGUUUGAGUCAUAAAUAAAUAUAGUGCUCCAGGCCUAUUCAAUUAAACAGGCAGUACCUCAUACUGAAAGUCACAUAGAUCACGAAGGGUAUGUGUGUGUGUGUCUGUGU
rnacentral:lncRNA from 13 species